rnacentral:rRNA from 1 species
GGGAACGUAUUCACCGCGACAUGCUGAUCCGCGAUUACUAGCGAUUCCGACUUCACGCAGUCGAGUUGCAGACUGCGAUCCGGACUACGAUCGGGUUUCUGGGAUUGGCUCCCCCUCGCGGGUUGGCGACCCUCUGUCCCGACCAUUGUAUGACGUGUGAAGCCCUACCCAUAAGGGCCAUGAGGACUUGACGUCAUCCCCACCUUCCUCCGGUUUGUCACCGGCAGUCUCAUUAGAGUGCCCUUUCGUAGCAACUAAUGACAAGGGUUGCGCUCGUUGCGGGACUUAACCCAACAUCUCACGACACGAGCUGACGACAGCCAUGCAGCACCUGUGUUCCGGUUCUCUUGCGAGCACUUCCAAAUCUCUUCGGAAUUCCAGACAUGUCAAGGGUAGGUAA